rnacentral:rRNA from 1 species
CCUACGGGCGGCAGCAGUGAGGAAUAUUGGUCAAUGGGCGCGAGCCUGAACCAGCCAAGUAGCGUGAAGGAUGACUGCCCUACGGGUUGUAAACUUCUUUUGUCGGGGAGCAAAAGACGCCACGUGUGGCGUUCCGAGAGUACCCGAAGAAAAAGCAUCGGCUAACUCCGUGCCAGCAGCCGCGGUAAUACGGAGGAUGCGAGUGUUAUCCGGAUUUAUUGGGUUUAAAGGGUGCGCAGGCGGAAGAUCAAGUCAGCGGUAAAAUUGAGAGGCUCAACCUCUUCGAGCCGUUGAAACUGGUUGUCUUGAGUGAGCGAGAAGUAGGCGGAAUGCGUGGUGUAGCGGUGAAAUGCAUAGAUAUCACGCAGAACUCCGAUUGCGAAGGCAGCAUACCGGCGCUCAACUGACGCUCAUGCACGAAAGUGUGGGUAUCGAACAGGAUUAGAUACCCCAGUGGUC